CGCGCAGGUGCGAAAGCAGAACUUAGCGACCCGACAGCCCUUCGUAGAACGGCUGGAGACAUCGGAUAAAAGCUACCCCGGGGAUAACAGGCUAGUCUUGCCCGAGCGUCCACAGCGACGGCAAGGUUCGGCACCUUAACUUAAUUGUUGCUCGCAACAGUUUAAUCGGGGUGCCUACAGGAGUAAUCCUGUACAAAAAUAAAUUGGCUAUAACGGUGAAACCCACAUACUAGCGCUACCAUGGAUGGUAGAAUAUAUGUGUGGGCAAUACCGUGGGAAGUCUAACCCAAUUCCAACAGUCUGUACUUAAAGGAUCACUGCUUGGUGACGGCUAUCUACGCCGAAUAUCCGGCAGGAAAAAUGCCUUUCUAGAGAUUAACCACUCAUUUAAGCAACGUGCUUACGUGGAUUGGAAGUACUCUAUAUUAGAGAAUAUCUCAGGAAGUAGACCCAAGGCACGUAAGAGCAACGGUAAAAGAGUUGCCUACCGCUUCUAUACUCGGCAGAUGCCGGAGAUGACAGAAUUAGUUCAUCAUUGGUAUGGAGAUAGAGGCAAGUGUGUGCCAAAAGAUCUUAAGUUAGAUCCAGUAACGUUGGCAAUUUGGUUCAUGGACGAUGGUAGUUUGUGCGGCAAUGCUGAUGUAUACCUAAAUACACAGCAGUUUGACUCGAUGAGUCAAGAAAUACUUCUUAACUCGUUGUUGGAGUUAGGAUUACACGCACGGCUCAACCGCGAUAAGCAGUAUCAUCGCAUUAGGUUUCUAAAGCAGUCUUUACCAAGAUUAGCAGAGAUGAUAGGACCCUAUGUGAUUCCAUCCAUGAAGUACAAAUUGGGUUAUGACCCCGUAGAGACUACACGCCGAUCCCCUGUGUUUAUACAGACCGCAGGGUGAAGAUAUAGUCCGAUCCUGCCAGUAAUGGCAGCAAAAUCGACAGCGAUGUCGGCUCAUCGCAUCCUGGGGGUGAAGAAGCUCCCAAGGGUUUGGCUGUUCGCCAAUUAAAGCGGUACGCGAGCUGGGUUUAGACCGUCGUGAGACAGGUUGGUCUUUAUCUACUACAGGCGUGGAGAACUUGAGGGAAUUUGACCCUAGUAAGUAAUUGCUACUUCGUAGAGCGAUCUACGAUGACAAUGUGGCUUAUAACGGUGAAGCCUUCAUACGAUUAUGGUUCGAGAACUAUACCCGCUGUCGGUUCCAGCAGGGCGUGGUUCGCUUGAGAACCAUAAUCCUCUUUAAGGUAAUACCGUGGGAAGUCGAUCUAAAUAGACUUUUAGGUUUGACCCCGUAACGACUCAUCUGCUAGUUGCAGAUGGACUUAUAGGACAUUCGAACUGUAUAUGCAGCGAUUCCUGUAGGUAACAUGCCACCACCUCCAUGGGGAGGUGAAGAUAUAGUCUACGCUCCUAGAAAUAGGGGGAUACGUGACGAGAGGACCGGGUUGAGCGAACCUCUGGUCUACCAGCUUUGGUACCAACUGAAGCGCUGGGUAGCUAAGUUUGUGUUGGAUAAGCGCUGAAGGCAUCUAAGCGCGAAGCCGCGCCCAAGAUUAGGUUUAGGUCCCCGGAAGACUACCGGGUUGAUAGGCUCUAGGUGUAAGUGCCGCAAGGUAUUCAGCCAAGGAGUACUAAUAGACCGUUGCCUCUUUUUA
rfam:Parcubacteria bacterium GW2011_GWA1_47_11 TX77_C0012, whole genome shotgun sequence.